CGUACAAAACAACGAAAGCCCUACCUCUCAAUCGUCCUUACGGCUCCGAAGCCGUGCCAGUGUGAAUUGUGUUACAAAAAGUCU
rnacentral:sRNA from 1 species